rnacentral:rRNA from 1 species
UAGGGAAUCUUCGGCAAUGGACGAAAGUCUGACCGAGCAACGCCGCGUGAAUGAAGAAGGCCUUCGGGUUGUAAAAUUCUGUUAUAAGGGAAGAAAGGUUAGAGAAGGAAAUGGCUCUAAAGUGACGGUACCUUAUGAGAAAGCCACGGCUAACUACGUGCCAGCAGCCGCGGUAAUACGUAGGUGGCAAGCGUUAUCCGGAAUUAUUGGGCGUAAAGAGCGCGCAGGUGGUUGAUUAAGUCUGAUGUGAAAGCCCACGGCUUAACCGUGGAGGGUCAUUGGAAACUGGUCAACUUGAGUGCAGAAGAGGGAAGUGGAAUUCCAUGUGUAGCGGUGAAAUGCGUAGAGAUAUGGAGGAACACCAGUGGCGAAGGCGGCUUCCUGGUCUGUAACUGACACCGAGGCGCGAAAGCGUGGGGAGCAAACAG